GACGAACGCUGGCGGCGUGCUUAACACAUGCAAGUCGAACGGAAAGGCCCCUUUGGGGGUACUCGAGUGGCGAACGGGUGCGUAACACGUGAGUAACCUGCCCUUGACUUCGGGAUAACUUCAGGAAACUGGGGCUAAUACCGGAUAGGAAUCCUUGCUGCAUGGUGGGGGUUUGAAAGCUUCGGCGGUUUUGGAUGGACUCGCGGCUUAUCAGCUUGUUGGUGGGGUAGUGGCUUACCAAGGCUUUGACGGGUAGCCGGCCUGAGAGGGCGACCGGCCACAUUGGGACUGAGAUACGGCCCAGACUCCUACGGGAGGCAGCAGUGGGGAAUAUUGCACAAUGGGCGGAAGCCUGAUGCAGCAACGCCGCGUGCGGGAUGACGGCCUUCGGGUUGUAAACCGCUUUCAGCAGGGGCGAAGCUUGUGGUGACGGUACCUGCAGAAGAAGCACCGGCUAACUACGUG
rnacentral:rRNA from 1 species